UUUGCUAUAUUUGGGUAAUAUAUAUUUACAUAUAUAUUCAUUUGACAGAGAUUCUUUAUUUAUGAAAGCUUCUCCCAAAAUUCUAAGAACACUUUAUGUGUGCAUUUACAACAAAAUUCCUCUUUUUCUAUCUUUUUUUUUUUUUUAAUAGAGACAGGGUCUCCCUGUGUUGCCCGGGCUGAUCUUGAACUCCUAGCCCCAAGUGACCUCCUGCCUUGGCCUCCCAAAGUGCUGGGAUUAUAAGUGUGAGCCACUUCUUUUUCAUAAGAGGUGUGAAAACCAGUUUUCAUAAACCUUUUCAGGAAUGCUUUUUUUUUUAAUUAAAAACCAAGUUUUCACAUCAAAAUGAUUGUAAAGACUUUUUUUUUUAACAUUUUAAAUUUGAAAUAGAAGUGUAUACCUAGAUCUCUUCACCAACUAGGAAAUCCAUUGCUGAGAUAGCAAAAUUUUCUUUUUCUUUUUUUAUUUUUAAUUUUUGUGUGUACAUGUAUAUAUUCAUGAGGUACAUGAGAUGUUUUGAUAGAGGCAUACAAUGUAUAAUAAUUACAUCAGGGAAAAUGGGGUGUCCAUCCCCUCAAGCAUCCUUUGUGUUACAAACAAUCCAAUUAUACUCUUCUGGUUAUUUUAAAAUCUACAAUUAAAUUAUUAUUGACUGUAGUCACCCUGUUGUGCUAUCGAAUAGUAGGUCUUAGUCAUUCUUCCUGUUUUUUUGUACCCAUUAACCAUCCCCACCUCCCCCAUACCACCCUGCUACCCUACCCAUCUUCUGGUAACCAUCCUUCUACUCUUUAUUUCCAUGAUUCAAUUGUGUGUAUUUUUAGGUCCCACAAAUGAGUGAGAACAUGCGAUGUUUGUCUUUCUGUGCCUGACUUAUUUCACUUAAUGACCAUCCAUGUUGUUGCAAAUGACACAAUCUCUUUUUUUUUUUUUUUUUUUUUUUUUGAGAUGGAGUUUUAUUCUUGUUGCCCAGGCUAGAGUACAAUGGUGCAGUCCCAGCUCAACCUCCAUCUCCUGAGUUCCAAGCAGUUCCCCUGUCUCAGCCUCCCGAGUAGCUGGGAUUACAGACAUGCGCCACCAUGCCCAACUAAUUUUUUUGCAUUUUUAGUAGAGACAGGGUUUCACCAUGUUUUCCAGGAUGGUCUCGAUCUCUUGACCUCGUGAUCCACCCGCCUCUGCCUCCCAAAGUGCUGGGAUUACAGGUGUGAGCCACCAUGCCUGGCCAUAAUCUCAUUCUUUUUUUAUAGCUGAAUGGCACUCUAUUGUAAGUACCACAUUUUCUUUGUCCAUUCAUCUGUUCAUGGACACUUGGGUUGCUUCCUAAUCUUGGAUGUUGUGAACAGAGCUGCAACAACCAUGGAAAUGCAGAUAUCUCUUCUAUUUGCUCAUUUCCAGGAAGCAGGAUUUUCUAUCAGCCUGAAGGAGCCGACUCUUGGUUACUCAUGUCAAGGAAAACACACACAAUUUAAAUAGUGAUCAUUUAUGAUCUUGUCUACAUAGUAUUGAACUACAUAGGUUUUUCCCUCACAUUCAGUCAAUGUUGAGCACCUACUGUGUGCCAGACACUGUCUAGGCACCAGGGAUACAUGCAGGAAUGAAACCGACACAAUCUGUUACUUCACGGAGUUUAUAUUCUGGCAUUAACUUGUUUUUGAAAAUUUAGGCUGUAGGCCCUUUCUACAGCCUAGUUAGCUGAAGAAGCUUUCUCUGGAUGAGCUGAAGUAACCUUCUCAGCAUAUCUCCAUUUUCACAAGAGGGAAGAAAGGCACUGGGUGAUGAAGGGAUGUGCCCGCUGUCAGCUGGCCAGCUUGUGGUGCAGCUAGCUGCCAGCCCAGGCAGGGUAUCUGUCGAGCUCUUCUUCUUUCUCCUGUUCCAACCAUUUCAGGGCUGGCUGGCUGCUCAGGUCUCAUGAAUCCUUACCUGGAAAGGUUGCAAAGUUUGUUAGCCUCUCCAUCUUUAAAAAAAAUGUAUACUUGUUUUUAAAAUUAUUAUACAGUAAAAUUGACUUCUUUUGGAGGAUGGUACAGUUCUAUGAAUUUUAACUCGUAUAAAUUUGUGCAGCCCUCACCACAAUCAGGAUACAAAGCUGUUCCAUCCACCCCCAAAAAUCUCCCUGUAUAGCCACACCCCCCCCCGACUAACCUCUGGCAACCACUAAUCUGUUCUCUCUCCCUAUAGCUUUGCCUUUUCUAGAAUGUCACAUAGGUGGAAUCCUGUAUACCUUUGACUGACUUCUUUCACCCAGCAUAACUCAUCCCCAUCUUUAUUUUUUUUCCUUUUUUGGAAAAUUUCCUUCCACCCAUACACCUGAUUUGAGCAUUAACACCUUUCAGAUGAUUAUAUGUUCACCACAAGCCUCCCGCUCUUAAGGAAACUGAUAAAGUAUCUUAUUGUAAAGGGUUUUUCUCUGGAGUGAAGUUGCAGGCUCUGGGUAGUUCUGUUGUGCUGGGUUUUUGUUCUGUGCCUCCCGUAUGUGCAUAGGAAAUGUGUCUUUGAAUGAUGGGGGAGCUGUGGAACGCACUGCCAAAAGGAGGUUUCAUACCCUGUUCACCUGAUUGUGUCACAGAAAUCAGAAAAGGAAAAUCUGUGUCAGUGAAUUUCACUAUUCAAGUACAGUCAACCCCUCCAGAUUCGGGCAUCUGUAGAGUCAACCAACCUUGGAUCAAAAAUAUCUGGAAAAAAAAAUUGCAUCGGUACUGAACACAUACAGACUUUUUUCCUUGUCGCUGUUGCAUGAAAUAAUACAGUGUAACAGCUAUUUACAUAUUAUUUACAUUCAUUAGGUAUUACAAGUAAUCUAGAGAUGAUUCAGUGUAAGGGUUGUGCUGUGUGUCAGUUAUAUGAUUUGAUGUAUGGAGUGUGCUGUGCGUCAGUUAUAUGCAAGUACUACACCAUUUUAUAUCAGAGACUUGAGCAUCUGUGGAUUUGGGUAUCUGUAGGAAGAUCUAACCAUUGCCCACUGAUACUGAGGGGUGACUGUUGGCAUGGCUGUCACAAAUCCCAGAAUUCACUGUGUAUUUGUUGUCUUAGUCUUCAUCUUAAUCAGUAUUCUAGGAUUUUUUUCUACAUUUUUGCUUGUGGUCUUCACUAAAAUAUUUUAACUUUUCUGCCCUGUAUCUUAUCUUAUUUUGACAUUUUUAAUAUUAUGUAUAAUAUCUCAUUUUGAAAACUUAAAAAAAAAAAAAAACUAUGUGAUUUAUAUAUGUAGUUCUCCGGGUAAAAAAGAACCUUUCUCCUUUUUGAAUUUUUGAGAUGUUACCUACCAGUAAUGUUGGUACUAUUAUAAGGCAAUCGUCUUAUAAACUUUUUCACUAAAUAGUCAUUUUGUUUUCUUUGUUUUCAACACAGUUUUUACGUAACAGAACUGUUUUCCUCAUCACUAUUAGAAAUCAGUUGUUAAUGUGCAUGCUAGUGUUUUGAAUUUUAAUAUUGAUUAUAAAUUCACAUGUAGAUUAGUAAUUUGUAAAAAAAAAAAUGUAAAUUUAUGUAACUCAUUUUUCAGAUACUUUGGUACUAAUGUUAUUUUAUCGUUACCAAUUCUUACAACAAAUAUACCAAACUAUGGAUUUAAAUGUUUUGGCAUUAAAAACUAUUUGAUAAUAAAAUCAGGAAAUUUUA
rnacentral:lncRNA from 10 species